GGGCCAUUUUUGGUAAGCAGAACUGGCGA
rnacentral:snRNA from 1 species